AUUGAACGCUGGCGGCAUGCUUUACACAUGCAAGUCGAACGGUAACAGGCCGCAAGGUGCUGACGAGUGGCGAACGGGUGAGUAAUGCAUCGGAACGUGCCCAGUCGUGGGGGAUAACGCAGCGAAAGCUGUGCUAAUACCGCAUACGAUCUGUGGAUGAAAGCGGGGGACCUUCGGGCCUCGCGCGAUUGGAGCGGCCGAUGUCAGAUUAGGUAGUUGGUGGGGUAAAGGCUCACCAAGCCGACGAUCUGUAGCUGGUCUGAGAGGACGAUCAGCAACACUGGGACUGAGACACGGCCCAGAAUCCUACGGGAGGGAGCGGUGGGGAAUUUUGGACAAUGGGCGCAAGCCUGAUUCAGCAAUGCCGCGUGCAGGAAGAAGGCCUUCGGGUUGUAAACUGCUUUUGUACGGAGCGAAAAGGCUCCCUCUAAUACAGGGGGCUCAUGACGGUACCGUAAGAAUAAGCACCGGCUAACUACGUGCCAGCAGCCGCCGUAAAAC
rnacentral:rRNA from 1 species